AUGCAAGAAAUUUAGCAUGUUGUGUGCAUAAGAAAUAGAGUUAAAUAUUGUUUCUCUAGUAUUAUCAGAAGUUAUAAGCUAGAGGAAAAUUUCAAGUGUUGUUAAAAAUAGGAAAAUUUGUGAGUGAAGAGGUAGAUUUAAGUUUUAUAUCUUAAUUGCUAGAUGGAUAAUGAAGUAUUUAAAGUAUAAUGUGAUUAUUGUUGAGCUAUUAAUGGAGA
rnacentral:misc_RNA from 1 species